rnacentral:RNase_P_RNA from 4 species
UCUGUCAGCCGGUUACCGCUUUUUUAAAUAAAAGAGGAAAGUCCGGACAGCAUAGGGAAGCAUACCGGUUAAUAGCCGGCCCUGAACAAAUGGGAGGGGAGAAAGUGCCACAGAAAAUUACCGCCUGCACACCCUGUGCAGGUAAGGGUGAAAAUGUGAGGUAAGAGCUCACAACAUUUCCCGGUAACGGGUAAUGGGGGUAAACCUUAUGCGCUGAAAUGCUAUGUAAACCGGCCUUUGAGGGUGCCCGCCCAAGUUUCAGUAAUGAACAGGCCGGAGGGUAAGCAGCUAGAUUGAAACAGUAAUGUUUCAACCAGAUAAAUGGUAACCAUUCCGGUGCAAACCGGGAUCACAGGAUCCGGCUUAUGGCUGACAGACUUU